UGCUUCACUCCAAACCGAGCAGCUCCACGUCGAACACCAGGGUGGAGUUGGGGGGGAUGAUGCCCGGGUGGCCUUUGUUUCCGUAGGCGUAGUCGGGCGUGCAGGUCAGCUUGGCCCUCUGACCAACGCUCAGCUGGAGCCUACCUGCACCACACCCUCUUCCCAGCCUCGGAUCACUUCCUGUUUACCAAUCUUGAAUCGGAAAGGCUUAUCCCUGUCUCGGGACGAGUCAAACUUCCGCCCGUCUGUGAACAACCCUGCAACCACGGAGGAAAAGAGCUGUUAAACGUCUGAUUAAAAUCAAACGUGUUACGUGGUGUCAUUUUGUAAUUGCCCUCUUGUUAAUAAAGAUUUAAAACAA